rnacentral:hammerhead_ribozyme from 1 species
ACCCAGCUGACGAUUCCCAAAUAGGACGAAACGCGCAUCCUGGAC